AAUCUAAGAGUUUGAUCCUGGCUCAGAACGAACGCUGGCGGCAGGUUUGAGGCAUGCAAGUCGAACGAGAAAGGUAGCAAUACCGAGUAGAGUGGCGCACGGGUGAGUAAUAUAUGGGAAUCUGCCCAGAAGUGGGGGAUAACAGUUGGAAACGACUGCUAAUACCGCAUACGCCCGAAAGGGGAAAGAUUUAUCGCUUUUGGAUGAGCCCAUAUUAGAUUAGCUAGUUGGUGGGGUAAAGGCCUACCAAGGCAAUGAUCUAUAGCUGGUUUGAGAGAAUGAUCAGCCACAUUGGAACUGAGACACGGUCCAAACUCCUACGGGAGGCAGCAGCUAAGAAUAUUGGACAAUGGGGGAAACCCUGAUCCAGCCAUGCCGCGUGAGUGAAGAAGGCCUUCGGGUUGUAAAGCUCUUUUAAUAGGGAAGAUGAUGACGGUACCUAUAGAAUAAGCACCGGCUAACUUCGUGCCAGCAGCCGCGGUAAUACGAAGGGUGCAAGCGUUGUUCGGUUUUACUGGGCGUAAAGCGUGUGUAGGCGGAUUAUUAAGUCAGUGGUGAAAUCCCGAGGCUUAACCUCGGAACUGCCAUUGAAACUAAUGAUCUAGAGAAUAAUAGAGGAUAACGGAACUCCGAGUGUAGAGGUGGAAUUCGUAGAUAUUCGGAAGAACAUCAGUGGCGAAAGCGGUUAUCUGGAUUAUUUCUGACGCUGAGAUACGAAAGUAUGGGGAGCAAACAGGAUUAGAUACCCUGGUAGUCCAUACCAUAAACGAUGAGUGCUAAUUGUUGGAAAUCUUCGGAUUUUCAGUGAUUGAGCUAACGCGUUAAGCACUCCGCCUGGGGAGUACGGUCGCAAGAUUAAAACUUAAAGGAAUUGACGGGGACCCGCACAAGUAGUGGAGCAUGUUGUUUAAUUCGAUGAUACGCGAAAAACCUUACCAACCCUUGACAUACCAAUCGCGAUUUUCAGAAAUGAUUAUCUUCAGUUCGGCUGGAUUGGAUACAGAUGCUGCAUGGCUGUCGUCAGCUCGUGUCGUGAGAUGUUGGGUUAAGUCCCGCAACGAGCGCAACCCUCAUCAUUAGUUGCCAUCAGGUUAAGCUGGGAACUCUAAUGAAACUGCCGGUGAUAAGCUGGAGGAAGGUGGGGAUGACGUCAAGUCAGCAUGGCUCUUACGAGUUGGGCUACAAACGUGCUACAAUGGUGCUUACAAAAAGUUGCAACAUCGCAAGGUGAAGCUAAUCUAUAAAAAGCAUCUCAGUUCAGAUUGUCCUCUGCAACUCGAGGGCAUGAAGUCGGAAUUACUAGUAAUCGUGGAUCAGCAUGCCACGGUGAAUACGUUCCCGGGUCUUGUACACACCGCCUGUCACGUCAUGGGAGUUGGUUUUACCUGAAGAUGGUAGGAUAACCGCAAGGAGUCCGCUAGCCACGGUAAAAUCAAUGACUGGGAUGAAGUCAUAACAAGGUAGCCGUACGGGAACGUGCGGCUGGAUCACCUCCUUUCAAAG
rnacentral:rRNA from 1 species